rnacentral:tRNA from 1 species
GGGCGCAUAGCUCAGUGGUAGAGCAGUUGCCUCUUAAGCAAUUGGUCGAGGGUUCAAAUCCCCCUGCGCCCA